GUCCAGAAGACGGCGGACCACAGCCAAAAGCCUACCAAGGCGAUGGCAACAGCCGGCCACAUGCGGGUUACGAGGCCCAUGAGGCUGGCUGU
rnacentral:sRNA from 1 species